rnacentral:tRNA from 1 species
GGGCGCGUCGUCUAGCUAGGACAGGGCGCCGGCCUUCGGAGUCGGAUGUCGCAGGUUCGAAUCCUGCCGCGCCCGCCA